UCUAUUCAUUUUCCUCAUCUGGGUCUUUCCAUUUCCUUUAUUAUUAUUAUUAUUAUUAUUAUUGUUAUUAUUCAUUUUACAGGAAGAUUAGAUGGAUGGGAGUGGUGAAAUCCGUUGCUGGGCAGAGCUGAUACCAGAUGCUCUACAGCUAAUCUUCAACAAUCUCUCUCUUCAGGUGUUCUUGACUGUCAUUCCAAUGGUUUGCAAGUCUUGGGGUAAGGCAGCUUCAGGGACUCACUUCUUGCAAGAGUUGUCUCCUUCAUUGCAGAUCAGUAAGAGAAACACUCCACAUUUCCAUCACAGCCUAAAAUUUGUAGUUUCUUACAACUAUAACUCUUCCUGAGUUGAAGAUUUCAGAAAUCUCAAACAAACACUUGAUUGGCCAUUUGAAAGUGCGUCCAAAUGGAAUUUGUUCCACUUGUGCAGCGGAGCCAAUCCAUCUUGUGUUUGGAGCAGAUCUGGGAAUUGGGAACUGCAUUGACAGACUCCAGAUUCACUGCUUUUCCCGCUCCAAUCUCAAUGGGCAAGAACGUAUUUGUAAGUUUGCCUGGGAGCCAAUCUGUCUUGCAUUUGAGGUGAGCUGAAAUGCAAACUACACCAGACAGGCUACCAGUUUGUCUUUUUUUUUUUUCCUUUGUUUUUUCCAGGUCCAAAUCACAUCCAUUCUUAUAUCCCACUCACAAUUUGGCGGAGCGCAUCCUCUCUGUUGCUAGUUGAAGAACCUCCAUACUGGCCACCUUUAUUUGAAUUUUUAUCUGGGGACCUUCUAUCCAACAAUUGGUUUCACCAUUUUAUUGUUUCUCGGUUUUGCUAGUGCUGUUUCCCUUCAGACUUUGCAGGUGCAGAGAAGGACAUUAGCGGUUCCAUAGUCAAAUGGGUUGGAGAAAGAAUCCAAAUAUAGGCAAUACUUGCAUCCGCUUUUGCCAGUGGAGAAAAACAGCAAAACAAUGGCCUCCACGUCUCGAGUAUUGCAGUUGAGCAUUAUUCUGGGAUUUUUCCUGGCCGUCUUCCUUGGUGUUAGCAUGCAGUUCAGAGGGAGAAUAUUUACAAAGAACACCCAAGUGUUGCAACUGGUGUGUAUAGGCAUCCCAUAUGUUGCUGCUACCCAACCGAUCAAUUCAUCGGCAUUUGUUUUGGAUGGGGUCAACUUUGAAGCUUCAGAUUUUGCAUAUACUGAUGAC